rnacentral:rRNA from 1 species
CACAGGUGCUGCAUGGCUGUCGUCAGCUCGUGUUGUGAAGUGUUGGGUUAAGUCCCGCAACGAGCGCAACCCUUAUCCUUUGUUGCCAUCUUUUCGGUCGGGAACUCAAAGGAAACUGCCGGUGAUAAACCGAAGGAAGGGGGGGAUGACUUCAAUUCUUCUGGCCCCUUACCAGUAGGGCUACCCCCUGGCUACAUGGGCGCAUACAAGGAGAAGCGACCUCCCGAGAGCAGCUAAACCUCACAAAGUGCGUCGUAUUCCGGAUCGGAGUCUGCAACUCCACUCCGUGAAGUCGGAAUCGCUAGUAAUCGUGGAUCACAAUGCCAC